UACAGAGGUCCCAAGCGUUGUUCGGAUUCAUUGGGCGUAAAGGGUGUGUAGGCGGCGCCGUAAGUCAGGUGUGAAAUCUCGGGGCUUAACUCCGAAACUGCAUUUGAUACUGCGGUGCUUGAGGACUGGAGAGGAGACUGGAAUUUACGGUGUAGCGGUGAAAUGCGUAGAUAUCGUAAGGAAGACCAGUGGCGAAGGCGGGUCUCUGGACAGUUCCUGACGCUGAGGCACGAAGGCCAGGGAGCAAACGGG
rnacentral:rRNA from 1 species